GAGAGUUUGAUCCUGGCUCAGGACGAACGCUGGCGGCGUGCUUAACACAUGCAAGUCACGGGGGCCCGCAAGGGUAACCGGCGAACGGGUGCGUAACACGUGAACAAUCUGCCUAGAUGUGGGGGAUAGCCGGCCCAACGGCCGGGUAAUACCGCAUACGCUCUUCGGGUGGCAUCACUUGAAGAGGAAACCUCCGGGGCAUCUAGAGGAGUUCGCGGCCUAUCAGCUAGUUGGUGGGGUAACGGCCUACCAAGGCAAUGACGGGUAGCUGGUCUGAGAGGAUGGCCAGCCACAUUGGGACUGAGAUACGGCCCAGACUCCUACGGGAGGCAGCAGUGGGGAAUAUUGCGCAAUGGCCGAAAGGCUGACGCAGCGACGCCGCGUGGGGGAUGAAGCAUUUCGGUGUGUAAACCCCUGUUGCCCGGGACGAACAAGCGAUUUUGAUCGCUCUGACGGUACCGGGUGAGGAAGCACCGGCUAACUCCGUGCCAGCAGCCGCGGUAAUACGGAGGGUGCGAGCGUUGUCCGGAAUCACUGGGCGUAAAGGGCGCGUAGGCGGUCUGCUAAGCGUGUGGUGAAAGCUCGGGGCUCAACCCCGAGUCUGCCAUGCGAACUGGUGGACUAGAGCACUGUAGAGGCAGGUGGAAUUCCGGGUGUAGCGGUGGAAUGCGUAGAGAUCCGGAAGAACACCAGUGGCGAAGGCGGCCUGCUGGGCAGUAGCUGACGCUGAGGCGCGAUAGCGUGGGGAGCAAACAGGAUUAGAUACCCUGGUAGUCCACGCCGUAAACGAUGGGGACUAGGUGCUUGGGGGAGCGACCCCUCGAGUGCCGGCGCUAACGCAUUAAGUCCCCCGCCUGGGGAGUACGACCGCAAGGUUGAA
rnacentral:rRNA from 1 species